rnacentral:tRNA from 1 species
CAUUAAAUAGCUAAACAAAAGCAUUGGCCUCUUAAGCCACUAAUAGUAGCCCCCCACCUACUUUUAAUG